rnacentral:rRNA from 1 species
GCCUAGCCCUAAAUCUUGGCACUUCCCCUACUAAAGUGCCCGCCCGAGAACUACGAGCACAAACGCUUAAAACUCUAAGGACUUGGCGGUGCCCCAAACCCACCUAGAGGAGCCUGUUCUAUAAUCGAUAACCCACGAUUCACCCGACCGUCCCUUGCCAAAACAGCCUACAUACCGCCGUCGUCAGCCCACCUUCGUGAAAGAAUAAUAGUGAGCACAAUAGCCCUACCCGCUAGUAAGACAGGUCAAGGUAUAGCUCAUGAGACGGAAGAAAUGGGCUACAUUUUCUGAAACAGAAAAUUAAACGAAAGAGGACGUGAAACCGUCCCCGAAAGGCGGAUUUAGCAGUAAAGCGGGACAAUAGAGCCCCCUUUAAACUGGCCCUGAGGCACGU